AUCUGCGAUAAGCGCCGGUAAGGUGAUAUGAACCGUUAUAACCGGCGAUACCCGAAUGGGGAAACCCAGUGUGAUUCGUCACACUAUCAUUAACUGAAUCCAUAGGUUAAUGAGGCGAACCGGGGGAACUGAAACAUCUAAGUACCCCGAGGAAAAGAAAUCAACCGAGAUUCCCCCAGUAGCGGCGAGCGAACGGGGAGGAGCCCAGAGCCUGAAUCAGCAUGUGUGUUAGUGGAAGCGUCUGGAAAGGCGCGCGAUACAGGGUGACAGCCCCGUACACAAAAGCGCAUGUGCUGUGAGCUCGAUGAGUAGGGCGGGACACGUGGUAUCCUGUCUGAAUAUGGGGGGACCAUCCUCCAAGGCUAAAUACUCCUGACUGACCGAUAGUGAACCAGUACCGUGAGGGAAAGGCGAAAAGAACCCCGGCGAGGGGAGUGAAAAAGAACCUGAAACCGUGUACGUACAAGCAGUGGGAGCACCCUUUGGGUGUGACUG
rnacentral:rRNA from 1 species